rnacentral:tRNA from 1 species
CGGUUGUGCGCCAGGUCGUGGCGCUGCCAGGCCGGCUGGAAGCCGGCCAGGCCAGUGUGUUCGUACUCCCGCACGGCCGU